rnacentral:tRNA from 1 species
AAAUAAGAAGCAAAAAUUGCAAUCAGUUUCGACCUGAUCUUUUGAUAAAUUCAUUAUCCUUAUUUA